rnacentral:rRNA from 1 species
AACGAACGCUGGCGGCGCGCCUAACACAUGCAAGUCGAACGCGAAAGUGUAGCAAUACAUGAGUAAAGUGGCGCACGGGUGAGUAACGCGUAGGUGAUCUACCUCUGUGACCGGGAUAACCAGCCGAAAGGUUGGCUAAUACCGGAUAGAGCGCAUUUAUCGUAGUGAUGAAUGCGGGAAAGGGUGGCGCCCGCAAGGGGCUACUGCACUGAGAUGAGCCUGCGUCUCAUUAGCUAGUUGGUAGGGUAACGGCCUACCAAGGCUUUGAUGGGUAGCUGGUCUGAGAGGACGAUCAGCCACACUGGAACUGAAACACGGUCCAGACUCCUACGGGAGGCUG